rnacentral:lncRNA from 1 species
AAAAACGUCCUAAGGGUUUCUCCAAGCUGGUUUUUCAUAAUUUUUGCAGCAAGUGAGUUAAUCUUUACCUUUUUCUUGUAAUUUUUGUGUUUCUAAGACUUUUACAACUAGGUCCUAUUACUAAAUUCAUUAGUUUUUGAUUUUGUGGAUGAAGUUGAAAGUUGCUAUGAAUAUGUGCUGGAAUUUUAUGAUGAUAUAGGAUGAAAUUGAAGCUUUAAUAUAUUUAUGAGAUGAUUUUAUUAGGUACUUUCAAUAGAAAUUGAUUUGUAGGACCUAAUUGUGAAAAAGUUUGGAAUUAAAGUCUAGUACUGAAAUUCUGAUUUCCAAAGCUUAUGAAGUAGUUUAAAGUGAUGGGAUAAAGUUUUAAUUGAGAAAACUCAGCUCAAUUGAUAGGUUAAUUGAGCAGGGAUGAAAUUAGCAUUUAUUGAAAGUUUAGGGAAAAAUGGUAAUUAACAUUAUACACUAAAACAGAUUUGGACAGCAGCAGUAGGUUAACUUUGAAAAAUCACCAAAAAUUGUAGAAAUCGAAUUAGAGGAUAAAUAAAAUAUGAAAUUAAAUCUUAUUGAGUCUAAUUUCUCAUAGAAGAAACGGUUUAAUCAAUGGAAUUGUAAAUCACGAGAUAUAAUGGAUUUUGUGAGACAAGGUCAGAAGGAAUUCGGGUUCCCCUGUUCUGACUUUGUAAAAUCAUUAAAAAUGGUAUAAAAAUGAUUAUGAGUUGUAAUUUAUAUGGCUAGAAUCCUUAAUGAGUCUAUUUUCAUAAGAAAUAAACAGGAACAUCAUCCAAAUUCUGUAGAAUGAGAUAAUUAAUUUUUAGUGAAGAGGGGUCGGAACUAUCAAACAAUGAAACAAGGGAAACUUUAAAGAAUAAACUGUACUUGUUGGAUAAACUAAAAAUUCUGAAAAUUUUAUGGUAAGAAUAUAUGUGAGUCUAGUUUUAGGUAAAAUUAACGGAUCUUAAUUUGGAGUUCCGUAGCUCAAGAUAUAAAUAUUUUAGUGACUGUGACUCAGUGAGACAGCUUUGAAUGCAUUAUAAAAUGGAAUUAUAGAGAAUGUUACAUAUGAACAUGAAAUGUAUUAGAUUAUGAUUAAAUUUAUUUAUUUAGAUCCAGAAAUUUCAAAUACGAAGCUAGAUCAAGGUAAAGAAAAAGUUCGGGAUUAGUAGAUUUUUGUUUACAAACAAGUGUCGAGGUAAGUUCUUGUAACUUGAAUUAUAUUCAUAAAUGCUUGAAAUGUUUGUUAUUGAUGUGAAUAUGAUUUGGAUGUUUAUUGUAUUAUAAUUGAUGAAGUAUUGAUAUUCUUGAUGAAAAGAGGAAAUAAAUCCCGGUUGAAUGGAAGGAAAAUUCGAUGGAUCUCUGAAAAUAAAUUGACGGUAAAAAGGAUCUAGCCCGGACGGGUGAUCCUCUCCUGAUAUAGCCCUCCCGAAGAAUAUGUGGAAAAUGGAUUUAGCCCGGACGGGUAAUCCGAAUUAGGGUCUGAAUUUAGCCUGGACUGGUAAUUCAGAUCCAAGCUCAUUAGAGUAAUUGUUGUUGCAGGGGAUUUAGCCUGGACUGGUAAUCCCGACAAUACUCUAUGAGUUUAUAUUACAGGAGAUUUAGCCUGGACUGGUAAUCCCGCUGUAAGGAUGAGGUUCGCGGGAGUGUGCUCUCUGAAAUGGAAAUGUGCGCACAUGAAUAUGAAUUGACGGACCCGGAUUUGUACACUAAAGUGUACCUCUGAAAAUCCAUCGAAAUUUCAAGUAGUUCAACGGGAUAAAUAUGGAAAAUAACAAGGGAAUGGAAAUCAUGUAAUUGAUGAGCUCAUCAAUCAUGGUAUAAAUUAUUGAUACAUGGAAAUUAUUGGUCUAAUUUGAAUGUUGAGUUUGUGCAUGAUAGGGGAAUAAUGUAUUGAAUGAAUGUAUGAAUGUUUAUUGUAUUGUAUUGAAAAUAUUAGGUAAGUAUAAUUCUUGUUACAUGAGCUUACUAAGCACAAAGUGCUUACCCUGUUUCCUUUUCCCCUGUUUUGUAGUGUUAAGAGCUCGGAGGUCGGAUUUGGUUGGAGACGCAUCAAACUAUCAACCUCAAGAUCUCGGUAUAUAAAGAAACUUUAUUUUGGAAAUCAAUGACAUGUAUAAGCUAGUAAAGUAGAUGUUAAUGUGAAAUGAAUGUAUAGUUAGCCAUUAGUAUGGCUAACAAACUUUGGUUUUGGA